GACGAACGCUGGCGGCGUGCCUAAUACAUGCAAGUUGAGCGCUGAAGGUUGGUACUUGUACCCACUGGAUGAGCAGCGCACGGGUGAGUAACGCGUGGGGAAUCUGCCUUUGAGCGGGGGACAACAUUUGGAAACGAAUGCUAAUACCGCAUAAAAACUUUAAACACAAGUUUUAAGUUUGAAAGAUGCAAUUGCAUCACUCAAAGAUGAUCCCGCGUUGUAUUAGCUAGUUGGUGAGGUAAAGGCUCACCAAGGCGAUGAUACAUAGCCGACCUGAGAGGGUGAUCGGCCACAUUGGGACUGAGACACGGCCCAAACUCCUACGGGAGGCAGCAGUAGGGAAUCUUCGGCAAUAGACGAAAGUCUGACCGAGCAACGCCGCGUGAGUGAAGAAGGUUGUCGGAUCGUAAAACUCUGUUGGUAGAGAAGAACGUUGGUGAGAGUGGAAAGCUCAUCAAGUGACGGUAACUACCCAGAAAGGGACGGCUAACUACGUG
rnacentral:rRNA from 1 species